CUCAGCCAUUAUCAGAGACACUUCUUGCAGUUAAUGUGAAGUAAUACAGAGACCCACGGCUUAACAAGGUACAGAGAACGAAAGGCCUUAGAACACUCAGUCCUAAAUGCCUAUAGGUGCUGGUUGCAGCGCAGAGCUCAGAGAGGAACAGUCUUCAUUCGACUAUUGGAAAAACAGCGGCUCCCAGGCUCCAUCUUCUUCCUGUCUGCUCAAAACUCUCCAAAUAUGGGAGGUUGAGAGUAUCUGUCUCCUUAUCUGAGGUCCACAUGAGUGACAGGAAGGGGAAAGGCACAACUGGGCCAGGCUUCAAUGGCCGAGGAAGGAACCAGCACACGUCUGAGGACAGGAGGGAAGAGCCGAGG